UUAUUUUUAUUUUUGAUUGUUUUGAUGUGCUGAUAUAAAAAAUAAAUAUUAAAAAAUAAAAAAAAUUUAUUUAAUAUAUUUUUAAGUAAAAUAUAUUUUAAAAUGCUACCGUAACAAACGCUGAUAUGGUUAUAAUCCUGGUCAUGUUUUUAAAAUGCUACCGUAACAAACGCUGAUAUGGUUAUAAUCCUGGUCAUGUGUCUUCGGUCUUAAAAAUAGUGCUGAAUUUGAAUAAUAAAACCAAAAAGAUUUUUUUGAUCGUUGAUAUUAAGAUUUAAGAAGGAAACUUUAGGUGAGAGAUAUUCAACAAUUAACCACUACAAUUCAUGUCGUGCUGUUUUUCGUCUUGUCUUGUAAUAAAGGGGAGCGAGAUUGUUGACGGUUGAAAAUUCUAAUUUUAUCGACUUCGAAAGAUAACAUAGCUCGGAGUAGGUAACUCUACUCGAUCGCCGAAUCGUGAAAAAUGGCUCCCAGUUGACCAGCCAAUGAUUCUUCCAGGUAACAAAACGGGUAUCCUAUGUGAAUAUCUUCCUACAUGUUAGGUUGCAGCCGACCAGACACAUGGAAAUGCAAUUCUAGCUGAGGGCAGCAAGGACUUUAAAAAAAGGGGGCUGAGAGAGUCAAUUGACCAGAUUAUGAACGAGGUAGAAAAGAGACAACAACCGACAGUGUCUGAAGGCAACAUGAUCGUAGAUGUCUUUUAUUGAAAUUGAGGUCCAUUGUGAUUUAAUUGCUUGGACUUUGUACCACUGAAAUCACAGAAAUACUUUAUUGA